AGUAUCUGUCUUCUUCUGGAGUCCUUGCAGGUAUUUGUUACAUUGUGCGUUAAUCAUGGGAGAACGAAUAUGCAGUUAUUUGAGAUGUAAUUCUGACUGGCUGGAAGAAUGAUUCCUUUUGGAUGCUAACAAAUUCUGAGGAGGAGAGUUGAGGAGGGCUUGCUGUAAUCAGUAAAAGGCGGAGAAUGAACUAAAGACCAACACAAGCCUUCUGCACCCUCAACAUGGGCCUUGAGCCAGUCCUCUUAACGCAUAGGAAACAGAAGAAAGAUGCUGAAACCAAACCUGGUGGGUAACAGUUUAUCACAAGCCUGUUUGUUCCUCUUUGGAGUUGCUACCACCCCUUAGUUCCCGAGAGUUGCUUCUCACUUAUGGGCACGUAGUUUAUCUUUCAGAUC
rnacentral:lncRNA from 1 species